CCUACGGGGCGCAGCAGUGAGGAAUAUUGGUCAAUGGCCGAGAGGCUGAACCAGCCAAGUCGCGUGAAGGAUGACUGCCCUAUGGGUUGUAAACUUCUUUUGCCGGGGAGCAAGCCUGAGCACGUGUGCCCAGGCGGAGAGUACCCGGAGAAAAAGCAUCGGCUAACUCCGUGCCAGCAGCCGCGGUAAUACGGAGGAUGCGAGCGUUAUCCGGAUUUAUUGGGUUUAAAGGGUGCGCAGGCGGGCUGUUAAGCCGGCGGGAAAAAUUCAGGG
rnacentral:rRNA from 1 species